GCGCACGGGUGAGUAACGCGUAAAGAACUUGCCUCUUAGACCGGGACAACAUCUGGAAACGGAUGCUAAUACCGGGUAUUAUGGUUUUUUCGCAUGGAGGAAUCAUGAAAGCUAGAUGCGCUAAGAGAGAGCUUUGCGUCCCAUUAGCUGGUUGGUGAGGUAACGGCCCACCAAGGCAAUGAUGGGUAGCCGGCCUGAGAGGGUGAACGGCCACAAGGGGACUGAGACACGGCCCUUACUCCUACGGGAGGCAGCAGUGGGGAAUAUUGGACAAUGGACCGCAAGUCUGAUCCAGCAAUUCUGUGUGCACGAUGACGUUUUUCGGAAUGUAAAGUGCUUUCAGUCGGGAAGAAGUCAGUGACGGUACCGACAGAAGAAGCGACGGCUAAAUACGUGCCAGCAGCCGCGGUAAUACGUAUGUCGCAAGCGUUAUCCGGAUUUAUUGGGCGUAAAGCGCGUCUAGGCGGCAAGGAAAGUCUGAUGUGAAAAUGCGGAGCUCAACUCCGUAUGGCGUUGGAAACUGCCUUACUAGAGUACUGGAGAGGUAGGCGGAACUACAAGUGUAGAGGUGAAAUUCGUAGAUAUUUGUAGGAAUGCCGAUGGGGAAGCCAGCCUACUGGACAGAUACUGACGCUAAAGCGCGAAAGCGUGGGUAGCAAACAGG
rnacentral:rRNA from 1 species